rnacentral:rRNA from 1 species
AGAGGGUGCGAGCGUUAAUCGGAAUUACUGGGCGUAAAGGGCUUGUAGGUGGAUUUGUAAGUUAGAUGUGAAAGGCCUGGGCUUAACCUAGGGACUGCAUUUAAAACUGUGAAUCUAGAGUACAGUAGAGGAAAGUGGAAUUUCCGGUGUAGCGGUGAAAUGCGUAGAUAUCGGAAGGAACACCAGUGGCGAAGGCGGCUUUCUGGACUGAUACUGACACUGAAGAGCGAAAGCGUGGGUAGCGAACAGGGAUUAGAUACCCUGGUAGUCCACGCCGUAAACGAUGAGAACUAGCCGACUGGAGCUUAGCUCUGGGUGGCGCAGCUAACGCGUUAAGUUCUCCGCCUGGGGAGUACGGCCGCAAGGCUA